UGAACAAAUAAAUUCAAUUUUUAAAAAUGGUAAGGCAUUUGAAUUCCUUCAGGAGUAAUUCUGAUUUUACAAACUUUAAAUGGUCAUUAGACCAGAAAUCAGCUUUGGACCUAAGGGAAUUCCAACCUAUACCUGUUUCUCUUUCACUGCUUUUAGAGAUGAUCCAUAAGUAGGCAAAGUGCCAAUAUUAUCUUCAUUUUUAAAAUACGGAAUUUUUUUUAAAGGAGUGACUUUGCAAUGGAGAAACCUGACAAAUACUACCUCAGUCGGGUGACAGAAGUCAACCUCAUCAGUCAUAAAUCAUGUUGAUAGUAUCUUUUACAUAAUGUGACAAAAUGGCACUUAACUUCUGUAAUCUUCCUCCCAGAUAAAGUCCAUUCAUGGGGCAUCCUACAAUAUACCUAGCUAGUACUCCUCACACAACUGUCAAGGUCAUCAAAAACAAGGAAAGUGAGAACUGGUCUAACCAAGAGAAGCCAAAGGAGACAGGACAACUCAAUGUGAUAAGGUAUCCUGAAUGGGAUCCUGGAACAAAAAGGGGCCAUUAGGCAAAA